rnacentral:rRNA from 1 species
AGAGUUUGAUCCUGGCUCAGAAUGAACGCUGGCGGCGUGCCUAACACAUGCAAGUCGAGCGAGAAAUCACACUUCGGUGUGAGAGUAGAGCGGCGCACGGGUGUGUAACGCGUGGAUAAUCUACCCAUGGAUUGGGGAUAACCCUGCGAAAGCGGGGCUAAUACCUGAUAGUCUGGUCAUUAUAUAGAUGAUCGGUAAAGGUGGCCUCUGAUACAAGCUACUGUCCGUGGAUGAGUCCGCGUCUCAUUAGCUGGUUGGUGGGGUAAUGGCCUACCAAGGCGACGAUGAGUAGCUGGUCUGAGAGGAUGAUCAGCCACACUGGGACUGGAACACGGCCCAGACUCCUACGGGAGGCAGCAGUGGGGAAUAUUGGGCAAUGGGCGCAAGCCUGACCCAGCAACGCCGUGUGAGGGAAGAAGGUUUUCGGAUCGUAAACCUCUGUCAGAAGGGAAGAAGUGGCAGAUAUUUAAUAUAUAUUUGCUUUGACGGUACCUUCAGAGGAAGCACCGGCUAACUCCGUGCCAGCAGCCGCGGUAAUACGGAGGGUGCAAGCGUUAUUCGGAAUCACUGGGCGUAAAGCGCGCGUAGGUUGCGUGG